rnacentral:pre_miRNA from 1 species
UUAACUCAAAUUUGUAUGGAGCUGGAACGUUACCUACGUUUGCCGCUAGGGGCGCUGUUCCAAUUGCAUACAAUUUUUUUA